AACGCACAUUGCGCCCAUUAGUAUUCUAGUGGGCAUGCCUGUUCGAGCGUCAUUAAAUCCACUUAAGCCCUGCUUAGUGUUGGGAGACUGCGCCGGCGGAGCUACCCUGUAGCUACCCUGCAGCUCCUCAAAGAUAGCGGCGGAGUUGUGAUAUCCUCUGAGCUUAGUAAAUCAUUCUAGCUUUCGAGAAGAUUACUUCCCUUGCCGUUAAACCACUUAAUUUUUAUGGUUGACCUCGGAUCAGGUAGGAAUACCCGCUGAACUUAA
rnacentral:misc_RNA from 1 species